rnacentral:rRNA from 1 species
GGGUUGUGAGGUUAAGCGACUAAGCGUACACGGUGGAUGCCCUGGCAGUCAGAGGCGAUGAAGGGCGUGCUAAUCUGCGAUAAGCGCCGGUAAGGUGAUAUGAACCGUUAUAACCGGCGAUACCCGAAUGGGGAAACCCAGUGUGACUCGUCACACUAUCAUUAACUGAAUCCAUAGGUUAAUGAGGCGAACCGGGGGAACUGAAACAUCUAAGUACCCCGAGGAAAAGAAAUCAACCGAGAUUCCCCCAGUAGCGGCGAGCGAACGGGGAGGAGCCCAGAGCCUGAAUCAGCAUGUGUGUUAGUGGAAGCGUCUGGAAAGGCGCGCGAUACAGGGUGACAGCCCCGUACACAAAAGCGCAUGUGCUGUGAGCUCGAUGAGUAGGGCGGGACACGUGGUAUCCUGUCUGAAUAUGGGGGGACCAUCCUCCAAGGCUAAAUACUCCUGACUGACCGAUAGUGAACCAGUACCGUGAGGGAAAGGCGAAAAGAACCCCGGCGAGGGGAGUGAAAAAGAACCUGAAACCGUGUACGUACAAGCAGUGGGAGCCCCACCACCAAAGCAUUCUCUGGUGUUGAAGGCCCUGCAAAGCAGCAUCGCGGUGGCGGAGCGUCGUUUGCGACGCCCAACACACAAAACAAGCGGUGAAUGCUUUGGGGUGGGGUGACUGCGUACCUUUUGUAUAAUGGGUCAGCGACUUAUAUUCUGUAGCAAGGUUAACCGAAUAGGGGAGCCGGAGGGAAACCGAGUCUUAAUUGGGCGUUAAGUUGCAGGGUAUAGACCCGAAACCCGGUGAUCUAGCCAUGGGCAGGUUGAAGGUUGGGUAACACUAACUGGAGGACCGAACCGACUAAUGUUGAAAAAUUAGCGGAUGACCUGUGGCUGGGGGUGAAAGGCCAAUCAAACCGGGAGAUAGCUGGUUCUCCCGAAAGCUAUUUAGGUAGCGCCUCGUGAAUUCAUCUCCGGGGGUAGAGCACUGUUUCGGCUAGGGGGCCAUCCCGGCUUACCAACCCGAUGCAAACUGCGAAUACCGGAGAAUGUUAUCACGGGAGACACACGGCGGGUGCUAACGUCCGUCGUGAAGAGGGAAACAACCCAGACCGCCAGCUAAGGUCCCAAAGUCAUGGUUAAGUGGGAAACGAUGUGGGAAGGCCCAGACAGCCAGGAUGUUGGCUUAGAAGCAGCCAUCAUUUAAAGAAAGCGUAAUAGCUCACUGGUCGAGUCGGCCUGCGCGGAAGAUGUAACGGGGCUAAACCAUGCACCGAAGCUGCGGCAGCGACGCUGAUGCGUUGUUGGGUAGGGGAGCGUUCUGUAAGCCUGUGAAGGUGUGUCGUGAGGCAUGCUGGAGGUAUCAGAAGUGCGAAUGCUGACAUAAGUAACGAUAAAGCGGGUGAAAAGCCCGCUCGCCGGAAGACCAAGGGUUCCUGUCCAACGUUAAUCGGGGCAGGGUGAGUCGACCCCUAAGGCGAGGCCGAAAGGCGUAGUCGAUGGGAAACGGGUUAAUAUUCCCGUACUUGGUGUUACUGCGAAGGGGGGACGGAGAAGGCUAUGUUGGCCGGGCGACGGUUGUCCCGGUUUAAGCGUGUAGGUGUGUGUUCCAGGUAAAUCCGGUUCACUUUAACACUGAGGCGUGACGACGAGGCACUACGGUGCUGAAGCAACAAAUGCCCUGCUUCCAGGAAAAGCCUCUAAGCAUCAGGUAACACGAAAUCGUACCCCAAACCGACACAGGUGGUCAGGUAGAGAAUACCAAGGCGCUUGAGAGAACUCGGGUGAAGGAACUAGGCAAAAUGGUGCCGUAACUUCGGGAGAAGGCACGCUGACACGUAGGUGAAGUGAUUUACUCAUGGAGCUGAAGUCAGUCGAAGAUACCAGCUGGCUGCAACUGUUUAUUAAAAACACAGCACUGUGCAAACACGAAAGUGGACGUAUACGGUGUGACGCCUGCCCGGUGCCGGAAGGUUAAUUGAUGGGGUCAGCGCAAGCGAAGCUCCUGAUCGAAGCCCCGGUAAACGGCGGCCGUAACUAUAACGGUCCUAAGGUAGCGAAAUUCCUUGUCGGGUAAGUUCCGACCUGCACGAAUGGCGUAAUGAUGGCCAGGCUGUCUCCACCCGAGACUCAGUGAAAUUGAACUCGCUGUGAAGAUGCAGUGUACCCGCGGCAAGACGGAAAGACCCCGUGAACCUUUACUAUAGCUUGACACUGAACAUUGAGCCUUGAUGUGUAGGAUAGGUGGGAGGCUUUGAAGUGUGGACGCCAGUCUGCAUGGAGCCGACCUUGAAAUACCACCCUUUAAUGUUUGAUGUUCUAACGUGGACCCGUAAUCCGGGUUGCGGACAGUGUCUGGUGGGUAGUUUGACUGGGGCGGUCUCCUCCUAAAGAGUAACGGAGGAGCACGAAGGUUGGCUAAUCCUGGUCGGACAUCAGGAGGUUAGUGCAAUGGCAUAAGCCAGCUUGACUGCGAGCGUGACGGCGCGAGCAGGUGCGAAAGCAGGUCAUAGUGAUCCGGUGGUUCUGAAUGGAAGGGCCAUCGCUCAACGGAUAAAAGGUACUCCGGGGAUAACAGGCUGAUACCGCCCAAGAGUUCAUAUCGACGGCGGUGUUUGGCACCUCGAUGUCGGCUCAUCACAUCCUGGGGCUGAAGUAGGUCCCAAGGGUAUGGCUGUUCGCCAUUUAAAGUGGUACGCGAGCUGGGUUUAGAACGUCGUGAGACAGUUCGGUCCCUAUCUGCCGUGGGCGCUGGAGAACUGAGGGGGCUGCUCCUAGUACGAGAGGACCGGAGUGGACGCAUCACUGGUGUUCGGGUUGUCAUGCCAAUGGCACUGCCCGGUAGCUAAAUGCGGAAGAGAUAAGUGCUGAAAGCAUCUAAGCACGAAACUUGCCCCGAGAUGAGUUCUCCCUGAGACUUUAGGUCUCCUGAAGGAACGUUGAAGACGACGACGUUGAUAGGCCGGGUGUGUAAGCGCAGCGAUGCGUUGAGCUAACCGGUACUAAUGAACCGUGAGGCUUAACCUUACAACGCCGAAG